UACGAAGGGUGCAAGCGUUAAUCGGAAUUACUGGGCGUAAAGCGUGCGUAGGCGGUCUUUUAAGUCUGCUGUGAAAUCCCCGGGCUCAACCUGGGAAUGGCAGUGGAUACUGGGAGGCUAGAGUGUGUCAGAGGAUGGUGGAAUUCCCGGUGUAGCGGUGAAAUGCGUAGAGAUCGGGAGGAACAUCAGUGGCGAAGGCGGCCAUCUGGGACAACACUGACGCUGAGGCACGAAAGCGUGGGGAGCAAAAGGG
rnacentral:rRNA from 1 species